UACAGAGGGUGCGAGCGUUGUUCGGAAUUAUCGGGCGUAAAGCGCUUGUAGGCGGCACGUCAAGUCGCGUGUGAAAUCCCCAGGCUUAACCUGGGAAGUGCGCGCGAAACUGACGAGCUUGAGUGCCGGAGAGGGUCGCGGAAUUCCCGGUGUAGAGGUGAAAUUCGUAGAUAUCGGGAGGAACACCAGUGGCGAAGGCGGCGACCUGGACGGACACUGACGCUGAGACGCGAAAGCGUGGGGAGCAAACAGGGAUUAAGAAACCCCGGUGAGUCCCAGAA
rnacentral:rRNA from 1 species